GACGAACGCUGGCGGCGUGCCUAAUACAUGCAAGUCGAGCGGACCGGAUUGGGGCUUGCCUUGAUUCGGUCAGCGGCGGACGGGUGAGUAACACGUGGGCAACCUGCCCGCAAGACCGGGAUAACUCCGGGAAACCGGAGCUAAUACCGGAUAACACCGAAGACCGCAUGGUCUUCGGUUGAAAGGCGGCCUUUGGGCUGUCACUUACGGAUGGGCCCGCGGCGCAUUAGCUAGUUGGUGAGGUAACGGCUCACCAAGGCGACGAUGCGUAGCCGGCCUGAAGGGGUGACCGGCCACACUGGGACUGAGACACGGCCCAGACUCCUACGGGAGGCAGCAGUAGGGAAUCUUCCGCAAUGGGCGAAAGCCUGACGGAGCGACGCCGCGUGAGCGAAGAAGGCCUUCGGGUCGUAAAGCUCUGUUGUGAGGGACGAAGGAGCGUCGUUCGAAGAGGGCGGCGCGGUGACGGUACCUCACGAGAAAGCCCCGGCUAACUACGUGCCAGCCGCCGCAGUAA
rnacentral:rRNA from 1 species